UUCUACCCUGCUGUCAAAAGGUCAAACGGUCAAAAGGUUAUAAGGUCAUAAGGCGAUCAGUUCGAUAGUUUCACACAGUCUACCCGUCUAUGAGUCUACCACAGCCAAGGCAACUGUGCCAGAGAAAAUAACUCAUACCGGUAAAUCUCUAGUUCUAUAAAACCCUAAAUCCAGGAUGAUAGCUUUAUUUUUCAACUAAUGCUAAGCUAGCUUGCGUAGCGAAAUCUAGCUGCCGAUGUUAGCCCGCUAACUGUGUCAACUAGCUAGCUGUUAUGGAGGGGGAUGGAGAUAAGAUGACAAUAAAAUGACCCAUAAAGCAUAAAACAUGGCUACUAAACACUUUACCACCACGAACGACAGAGGAAGGGACUGUGGCAUCACAGCAAUCAAUUUGAACAUCAGGUAGGGCUAUACUGUGGAAAAGUACUCUGGUUUCUGGAAAUGAAGAGGUGAUGCUGACCAAAUAUCUCCAAGGAACUCUCCAUGUUUCCAGGUCAAAGGCUUUCCACCAGAUGGAGGUGAUGCUAGCUGUGAGGAUUCUUCGCCAUCCAGAAGCAUGAGUGCUAAUGAGGUUACAUAUUGGGUCAUAGUUCAAGUUCCCCCAAAGAUGUUGGAGAGGAUUGCAGAACGGGCUCUUUGCAGCUCCUCCUGUGAGACCUGGAUCUGUGCGUCAGGAAUUGAUGGCCAGUUUGCCCCGAUAAGAUAAACCCGAGGCUGGACUGACCUUUGAGCUUGAGUCUUCAUUUGUAAUCUGCUUGUGAGAAACUGGACGAAACAACACCCUAAAGAUGUCCCUUUUUGUGAACUCUUCCCGAGACCCUUGAAAAUCAUCGCAAGACGCUGUAGGAACAGUUGGCAAUUCCUGAUGGACAAGGACCUGCUGCCGUUCCAACCCUGAUCAGUAAAAUUGAAAGUCCGACACGGCCCAGGUAGAUGAAGAGGUCUUUGUUGUGUUGAGUUCAGAGAAGCUGAAGGAAUCUGCUGCUGGUCCUGGAAAGCCUCGCAGCUCCAAACCAGCACUCUUCCGUCUUAAGUUAAACCAUUUUGUGAGUUUAUUUUUACCAAGAAAAAUGCAAGAACUCAUCUUCAUCAAACUGGAGUAAAGCCACUUGUGACCAGAUUUGACAGCAGGGUGGAUCUACACAUCUCUCCUGGUUGACAGGAUGCCGUGGUAUUGACCCGUCAAUCACAGGCAGGGAUUUCAGGGCCCAUAACAAAGUAUCAUAUCACAGAUAUUCACUACCAGAGACUCCAUCCUUGGACACCUCCUCAAACAUCAGAACAUUUCAACAUGAUGACAUAGUUCAAGGCAAACCACACUCUUGCUCUUUAACAACAAUGCAGCUGAAUCAUCAGUUCACCAGCACCCCCUCUCUCCAGAUCCCUCCUCAGCCUCAUCGACACCCUAUCCUGCUGGACAAUAUCCCACCCCCUUUAGUCCAGGCCAUCAUUAAUCCUAAACGGGGUAUGGAGGGAUCCCCCCAGACUCCACAGACCCCCAGUUCUUGCAGCUCACCUGGAUCUGGGAAAUCCUGCUGGAACUUAGAUGUUAGGGUGGUGGUGCUUCUGGUCAUAGUGGCUGGGCUUGUGAUCCUGCUGCUGCUCUACAGACUCCUGCAGCUCAGACACAGACUGAGGUUGGCCCGUGCAAGGCACGCUCUGGAGUACUACAGCUUCUUCCACAGCGCCAACUACACCCUCAAGCACCCUGAGCAGAGUCAAGACCUACCAACCAAGAACGGGUCCAUCCUCGAAGCUGCUUCACCUGCCCCUACUCUUACCCCUGUGACACUCGCUGCCACGAUCAUACCAAUUCCACCACCGCCAACGUCUUCUCCACCUCCACUUCCACUGCCCCCUCCUCCUGUUCUGCCUCCACCCCUUCUCCACACUCCACCUUCUCUCCCUCCAGCAACCCCUGUCCUGGCCUUCCCUUUGCCCUUGUCUGUGAUCCACACCGACCCACCAAGCCCUCACCUAUCCUGGGGCGCCUGCUCCGAUGCAGAUGUGUACUCUCGGAUUGGAGCUUAUAAGCCCUCCAGGCUCUCCAGCAUCUCCAACCAUUCAAAAGUCAUCCUGUUUGAACACUCUUCUCUCUGACCUUUGACCUAAACAUGACUACAGACUUCAGGUGUUGAGGCGACUUUAAUGAGUCUCAAAUCUUUUUCAUCACUAAGGCUGAUUGUUUGCUGACUGAACUGUGUACCACUGGUUGGCUAAGUCAUAAUAAUAUAUUAAAUAAACACAAAUGGCUUUUAUUAAUUUUUUAAAAAUAUCUGUGAAGCAAACGCCACUGAAACCAAUCAUAGAACAUAUGUUGCCAUUGCAGUUUUAUACCAUCACUAAGAACAACAGCAGAGUGAGUUAUGCAAACUCACUGUGACUCCUCCAAUUACAGUCAGAAUAGCAGGUUGAUAACAACCUACAAAUAUCCUGACAUUUUGCAGCCGCCAUGAGUUUUAGGUAGCUGGCAAUUUCCUGCAUUUAAGAAGACCACUGAGUUUAAAAGGAGGAUGUCGUCUUUUUGACUCCUGAUGAUCUCUCAUCACUGACAGACACAACAAAAGAAAACAAUAUUUUCUGCAUGCAGUUAUCUGCAGGAAGGUAUAUUUUUUUACAUCACUGCCAAGAAAUCAUUCUAUGUAUUGCAAAAUUCCAAACACUUCUUUUUAUGUUAGUGAUUGUAUGCUGAAGGGUAUGGGAUCUUAUACUUUAGCAUACAUUUAAUUAAUUUAGCUGUUAACAACCCAGAACACCCCACAGCCAAAACAUUUUUUUACAGACACUAGCUUGAGCGGGUAGAAGACAGGUCCCUUUAAUUUGAUGUGAAAGUGCCAAUCAUAUCAAAUUACAACUUUCCAUGAUGAGACAUUUUACCGGACAGCAUUACAAGAUCAAGAUUUAAUUUGAUAGAUGCAAUGCAACUUUAGAUCUUUUAGUUCAAAGCAUGAAACUGACAUUUUGGACAGUUUAUUUUCAACUUUUGUCUAUAUUUGGGAUGUUACAUACACAGUGUCAUCAGAAUGUACAGCAUCCAUUAUCGUAAAAGUACACAGUGUUCACUGAACAACAAAAGGAAAUAAUCUAUAAAGAAACAAGUAUGAUUUAUUUUCUUAAAUGCUCUUACUUUUUUUAUGUCUUAUUCUUAGUGUUUGGUUUUUACAUCGCAGUCAUUGUACGAGAGCCCAUUGUUUUCCAGAUGAGGCAUUUCCUGAGCUGGUCUUCCUUGGCAGUCCCUCCCUGUUUCACACUAUUCUCACUCCUUGUGUUUCCUCUGACUUUCUCUGCUUUACAUUUGUUCACCCAGUCUCAGAGAGAAUUAAGACACUAGUUUUAGAGUGUUUUUGACUAAACACCAACAAAAACUAAAAUUAUAAGUGCAGGUGAACCUUUUGACACACCAAACUGGCAUCAAAGUAUACCAACUGUUGUGCCAUCUAUAUAUGGGCCAUGAUGUAUGUAUGACCAGCCAAGAUUUUUUUACGACCAAGGGUUAUCAAAACACUCUGUUAUGAUUUGGUGGCGUUGGCCUUCAGUUUGCUCCAGUUUACCUCUCAGUUGGAGCUAUUCUGUAUCUUAAUCUGAUCAGGAAUAAGUCUUUCAAAAUGUUGCCAAUGACUCUGGCCCUGUUUUCGUGCAGUGACUUGCUUGUGGGAGAAGAACCAGUCACCAAUUCAACUUGCUGGUUCUGCCAUAAAGCUGCCUUAAACCACAGCUAAGGGCCACAGAUGCUCAUUGACGGUCCCACAUUGGCUCAGCGCCGGUCUGGUGCGUCAGGGUCAUCAAGAUGCACAGACUGAACUGAUCAAAUGUAUCUAGUCUAGACAUGUGGUAUUGUUGUAAGCAUUAGAAGCUACUUCCUCUGGAUCAAUGGCUUUCUAACAUUCAAGGAUGAAAAUUCCUCUCACCCUUAAAACAAUCACGCCGCCAAGUCACAGUGCAUGUCUGCUCUGUCGCACAAUGUUCUCUGUGUUGUCCUCUGUACUGUUCUCUGAGUUGAAGCAGGGGUUGUGCUCCUCUCUGUCAUGCUCUGAUGAACUUCUGUCACUCUGGAUUUGACGUCAUCAAUGCAUAUCAGAAUAAAAAGAAACCAAACUUGGAUUUAAGCAUCCAGAGGGGGUAGACAGAGAUUCAUCUUUAUAAACUAAGAAUCACAGCUUUUUUUUUUUUGUCACCGUAUGAUAUAUACCAUACAGAAUCUUGGUAUCAUUACAAUAUUGUCAUUCAAAAUAUCAGGAUGCUAGAACUACAUCAUGUGAUCCAGCAAUAUUAAUAAAGUAAUAAAACAGAACAUUAA